rnacentral:misc_RNA from 1 species
AAAGUCGUAACAAGGUUUCCGUAGGUGAACCUGCGGAAGGAUCAUUACAAAUCAAUUUGUGGGGGUGGUUGGUGAUAAGUUGACAUUGUCUGAGGAUAAAGUCCUUGUCACCCUACUUUCAUAUAUGUUCGAGGCAGCAAUGCUUCGUGACAUUUACGCUUGUCUUGUUUGUCAGAGUAAAAGUGAUUAUAUAAAGAGACAACUUUUAACAAUGGAUCUCUUGGCUCUU